UGCAUGGCGUUUGUAUGGAAGCAGGUCUGUUGGGAGUGUUAAGUACCAUCAUCUCAUACACUCACCACAACUCUGGGAAGUUCCAUCCAUAUUGUUUGCUGUCACUUUUCCUGCAAAGCUUUAACCAUCAGAGAGUUAUCUUUUACUGGGGCUUUUAGCUGCAGGAGACUGAAUUACUAAGGUUUUUUUUUUGUGGAUCUGAUUUCUUCUUUCGCAGGAGUGGAUCUAAUCACAGCCUGUGAUAUUCGUCUGUGCACACAGGACGCCUGGUUUCAGGUGAAGUCGUGUGUUCCCUGAUAGUCCAUGAUUGCUGGAGCUCUGGAAAUAGCAGGUGAGAUUGCAGGCCGGAGUCGCGUCGCUGUCCAAGGAACCAAAAUCAACCUCCUCUACUCCUGAGACCACAGUGUGACUGAGAGCCUAGACUACAUGGCUACUUGGAACAUGAACAUGUUGCAGACACAGGAUCUUAUGAAGUCAGCGCAGGCAGCCCUGGAAAAGAAGAGUCCGAAAGACGUGCCCUUCUCCAAGCUUUAAAGGAGAAGAUCCAGGGCUGUUGAAGCUGCGGUGGAACUGAGACAUCAUCAUCCACAUAUCUUCAGUUCUUCUUGCUAAGUCUGUUUCUUUUUAGUCUUUUUAUUUUUAGACUGGUCAAAAGACUGAUUAGUGGAAGUGAAAUGAUAGAUGAACUUUUAUUUACUUGCUUUAUUAUUUGCAGGUGCCUUGUACAGUAAGACAGGGUAACUAAUACUCAAAAGCUUUUUUUGUGUGUUAACAUGUACAGUAGAUGGACAUAUUUUUUCUGGUGCUGUGACUGCAGAAUGUAGUGCAGUUAACACAUAAAAUUUCCUUGGAUGCUCACUUUUAACUCUAGGAGGUCACAGUUUGCCCAGACAUCUUUUUUUAAAUCCGUCAAUCCGUCACCCACACGUCAUUCUGGGGGACGAAGAGGAGGAAGCUGGACAGAUAAAUUUAUUUAUUUAUUUAUCAUUGCUGUGUUUCCUUAAUCGAGUGCAGAAAGAAGAAAAACAACACAACUGAUUUAAAAUAAAAAUAUAGAAAAUAAUCUAAUGUAAGAUUCUGAUCCGGUUUGCUUUCAGCAGGAAGGCUGUCCUCUUUCCUGUUGCUCUUUCUCUUCUAUUAGUCCAUUUGUCCAGUCUGAAUCGGUUUUGAUUCGUUUCGAGACGAUUCGGAGUCGAAUAAUUUUCUAGUGAGAGUCGCACACUUCCAAACGAACUAGACUGAGAUGAGUAUUUGAUUCUCACUAGAAAGUGAUUCGACUCUGAAUCAACUCGAAAUGAAUCAGUCAAACUGAUUCAGACUCUAUAAAAGGACUAUGAGAUGUGAUUAAGAUAUAUAUUCCAAUGUUUUGCUUUACAUUUCCAUUGUGUGUGUGUGUGU